CCCUUAACUAUUAAAAGUUUCGUUUUGGUCCCUUAAUUUAUUUUUUGGUUUCGUUUUGGUCACUUAACUUAUUUUUUGAUUUCGUUUUGGUCCUUAACUCUAAUAGAUUCAUUCUAACAUAAAGGAUCAAAGUGGUUGACGGAAGAAGAGUUAAGGGACCAAAAUGAAACCAAAAAAUAAGUUAAGGGACCAAAACGAAACUUUUAAUAGUUAAGGGA
rnacentral:pre_miRNA from 1 species